rnacentral:rRNA from 1 species
GAUGAACGCUGGCGGCGUGCCUAAUACAUGCAAGUCGAGCGAACAGACGAGGAGCUUGCUCCUCUGACGUUAGCGGCGGACGGGUGAGUAACACGUGGAUAACCUACCUAUAAGACUGGGAUAACUUCGGGAAACCGGAGCUAAUACCGGAUAAUAUAUUGAACCGCAUGGUUCAAUAGUGAAAGACGGUUUUGCUGUCACUUAUAGAUGGAUCCGCGCCGCAUUAGCUAGUUGGUAAGGUAACGGCUUACCAAGGCAACGAUGCGUGGCCGACCUGAGAGGGUGAUCGGCCACACUGGAACUGAGACACGGUCCAGACUCCUACGGGAGGCAGCAGUAGGGAAUCUUCCGCAAUGGGCGAAAGCUUGACGGAGCAACGCCGCGUGAGUGAUGAAGGUCUUCGGAUCGUAAAGCUCUGUUAUUAGGGAAGAACAAAUGUGUAAGUAACUAUGCACGUCUUGACGGUACCUAAUCAGAAAGCCACGGCUAACUACGUG